UUGGCGGACGGGUGAGUAACGCGUGGAAAACCUGCCGUAUACUGGGGGAUAACACUUAGAAAUAGGUGCUAAUACCGCAUAAGCGCACAGCUUCGCAUGAAGCGGUGUGAAAAACUCUGGUGGUAUACGAUGGUUCCGCGUCUGAUUAGCUAGUUGGUGGGGUAAUGGCCUACCUAGGCAACGAUCAGUAGCCGGCCUGAGAGGGUGAACGGCCACAUUGGGACUGAGACACGGCCCAAACUCCUACGGGAGGCAGCAG
rnacentral:rRNA from 1 species